rnacentral:tRNA from 1 species
GCCUUCGUUGUGUAGUGGUCAGCACGCUCGACGCGUAACCGAGAGGUCCGUGGUUCGAUUCCCGGCGAAGGCU